rnacentral:misc_RNA from 1 species
AGACUGAAUUUUUACCGAUCUCCUUUGUGAUCGCCUUACCAAUACUCUUUGGCAGGCAAUGUCGAUCUCUUUCGUUUACUAGUCUGGGAUCCGAUCUUGCCUCGAUCCCCACUAUACCAGGUUAUCUCCUGAGCUUGUUUAGUGGUUCGACUUCAUAGCUUUUCCUCCGAUUUAUUAUCCAAACUUUUAUUAUUUUAAAGAAACUCUCGUUUUAAGAUACAGCUACCAACGUUUUAUUAGAUCACCUAUACGCUGCCCGUAACCAGAAUACCCGUAUUUGAAGGAAAUAAAGCUAAGAACAAAUAAAUAACAUGAGCCGAUGAAUAAGAGGUAAACCCAAGAGAACAAUUAUCUACGUGGGGCUCUUUUAGCAGAACUGAAUUUAAUGAAAAUCAUGAGCAUGAGAGCAAAGAAAAUAAAACGCGCGCAUUUGAUAGAGUAACGGUCUAGACACUUACCUGUGUGGAUUUGAGUGUAUCGAACUGACUGAGGAGCCACAAAUAUUGUAGAGCUGCGGGCUAACAGUUUGAUGACUAAUGCUUACUUUGAAAUAACAAGUACCAAGUUAAAAUGCAGUUGAGCCGAAGUGACAGUGACCGGGUUGGAAUGAGAUUAAGCUUGGAAAAUAAAAGAUUGAUAUUAAGAUGAUGAAGAUGAAACUGAAACUGAGAGAUGGUAUUGCAGAGUAGUGAUCAAACUGAAAAUGAAGAGUUUCAGUAUUCAACACUCAUUCAAUGGA